GAUGAACGCUAGCUACAGGCUUAACACAUGCAAGUCGAGGGGCAGCACUAGGUAGCAAUACUGAGGUGGCGACCGGCGCACGGGUGCGUAACGCGUAUCCAACCUUCCCGUUACUCUUGGAUAGCCUUCCGAAAGGGAGAUUAAUACAAGAUGGUGUUGAAAAUUCCGCAUGUUAUUUCAACUAAAGAUUUAUCGGUAACGGAUGGGGAUGCGUGACAUUAGAUAGUAGGCGGGGUAACGGCCCACCUAGUCUACGAUGUCUAGGGGUUCUGAGAGGAAGGUCCCCCACACUGGAACUGAGACACGGUCCAGACUCCUACGGGAGGCAGCAGUGAGGAAUAUUGGUCAAUGGUCGGAAGACUGAACCAGCCAAGUAGCGUGAAGGAUGAAGGUUCUAUGGAUUGU
rnacentral:rRNA from 1 species